ensembl:rRNA 5S_rRNA 5S ribosomal RNA
GUCUGCAGCCAUACCACCUCGAACGUCUCCAUAUCAUCUGAUCUCGGGAGCUGAGCAGGGUUGGGCCUGUUUAGUACUUGGAUGGGAGAAGAUGGGUACCACGCACU